UCCCUGGUGGCUCAGAUGGUAAAGCAUCUGCCUACAAUGCAGGAGACCUGGGUUUGAUCCCUGGGUUGGGAA
rfam:Ovis aries breed Texel chromosome 12, whole genome shotgun sequence.